rnacentral:rRNA from 1 species
CCCUACUAUGUUAAGCCGUUAAUCGACAGCCACACAACACCCUGUCCGCCAGAGAAUUACGAGCGAAAAGCUUAAAACUCAAAGGACUUGGCGGUGUCCCACUACAACCUAGAGGAGCCUGUCCUAUAAUCCGAUACCACACGUUCUACCCAACCACCUGUUGCAAAUCCCGCUCAGCCUAUAUACCGCCGUCGUCAGUCCACCUUAUGAAAGCUAAUCAGUGGACAAAAAAGUCACCACACUAGCACGUCAGGUCAAGGUGUAGCCCAUCAGGUGGCAGUGAUGGGCUACAUUUUCUCACUAUGACCACACGGACAGCAAAAUGAAAUACCUGCUAGAAGGCGGAUUUAGUAGUAAAAUAAACAAGCUUGUUUAUUUUAAUCCUGCUCUGGGACGCGCACACACCGCCCGUCACCCUCUUCAAAACCCGCAUAAAAUUAUCUAUAAUGACCUGCACAAAAUUAAAGAAGAGAUAAGUCGUA